UGACCCGGUCGUUGGAAUCCUCUC
rnacentral:miRNA from 1 species